GAUGAACGCUGGCGGCGUGCCUAAUACAUGCAAGUCGAGCGAACGGACGAGAAGCUUGCUUCUCUGAUGUUAGCGGCGGACGGGUGAGUAACACGUGGAUAACCUACCUAUAAGACUGGGAUAACUUCGGGAAACCGUAGCUAAUACCGGAUAAUAUUUUGAACCGCAUGGUUCAAAAGUGAAAGACGGUCUUGCUGUCUCUUAUAGAUGGAUCCGCGCUGUAUUAGCUAGUUGGUAAGGUAACGGCUUACCAAGGCAACGAUGCAUAGCCGACCUGAGAGGGUGAUCGGCCACACUGGAACUGAGACACGGUCCAGACUCCUACGGGAGGCAGCAGUAGGGAAUCUUCCGCAAAGGGCGAAAGCCUGACGGAGCAACGCCGCGUGAGUGAUGAAGGUCUUCGGAUCGUAAAACUCUGUUAUUAGGGAAGAACAUAUGUGUAAGUAACUGUGCACAGCUUGACGGUACCUAAUCAGAAAGCCACGGCUAACUACGUG
rnacentral:rRNA from 1 species